UUAAGCGACUAAGCGUACACGGUGGAUGCCCUGGCAGUCAGAGGCGAUGAAGGACGUGCUAAUCUGCGAUAAGCGUCGGUAAGGUGAUAUGAACCGUUAUAACCGGCGAUUUCCGAAUGGGGAAACCCAGUGUGUUUCGACACACUAUCAUUAACUGAAUCCAUAGGUUAAUGAGGCGAACCGGGGGAACUGAAACAUCUAAGUACCCCGAGGAAAAGAAAUCAACCGAGAUUCCCCCAGUAGCGGCGAGCGAACGGGGAGCAGCCCAGAGCCUGAAUCAGUGUGUGUGUUAGUGGAAGCGUCUGGAAAGGCGCGCGAUACAGGGUGACAGCCCCGUACACAAAAAUGCACAUGCUGUGAGCUCGAUGAGUAGGGCGGGACACGUGGUAUCCUGUCUGAAUAUGGGGGGACCAUCCUCCAAGGCUAAAUACUCCUGACUGACCGAUAGUGAACCAGUACCGUGAGGGAAAGGCGAAAAGAACCCCGGCGAGGGGAGUGAAAAAGAACCUGAAACCGUGUACGUACAAGCAGUGGGAGCACGCUUAGGCGUGUGACUGCGUACCUUUUGUAUAAUGGGUCAGCGACUUAUAUUCUGUAGCAAGGUUAACCGAAUAGGGGAGCCGAAGGGAAACCGAGUCUUAACUGGGCGUUAAGUUGCAGGGUAUAGACCCGAAACCCGGUGAUCUAGCCAUGGGCAGGUUGAAGGUUGGGUAACACUAACUGGAGGACCGAACCGACUAAUGUUGAAAAAUUAGCGGAUGACUUGUGGCUGGGGGUGAAAGGCCAAUCAAACCGGGAGAUAGCUGGUUCUCCCCGAAAGCUAUUUAGGUAGCGCCUCGUGAAUUCAUCUCCGGGGGUAGAGCACUGUUUCGGCAAGGGGGUCAUCCCGACUUACCAACCCGAUGCAAACUGCGAAUACCGGAGAAUGUUAUCACGGGAGACACACGGCGGGUGCUAACGUCCGUCGUGAAGAGGGAAACAACCCAGACCGCCAGCUAAGGUCCCAAAGUCAUGGUUAAGUGGGAAACGAUGUGGGAAGGCCCAGACAGCCAGGAUGUUGGCUUAGAAGCAGCCAUCAUUUAAAGAAAGCGUAAUAGCUCACUGGUCGAGUCGGCCUGCGCGGAAGAUGUAACGGGGCUAAACCAUGCACCGAAGCUGCGGCAGCGACACUAUGUGUUGUUGGGUAGGGGAGCGUUCUGUAAGCCUGUGAAGGUGUACUGUGAGGUAUGCUGGAGGUAUCAGAAGUGCGAAUGCUGACAUAAGUAACGAUAAAGCGGGUGAAAAGCCCGCUCGCCGGAAGACCAAGGGUUCCUGUCCAACGUUAAUCGGGGCAGGGUGAGUCGACCCCUAAGGCGAGGCCGAAAGGCGUAGUCGAUGGGAAACAGGUUAAUAUUCCUGUACUUGGUGUUACUGCGAAGGGGGGACGGAGAAGGCUAUGUUGGCCGGGCGACGGUUGUCCCGGUUUAAGCGUGUAGGCUGGUUUUCCAGGCAAAUCCGGAAAAUCAAGGCUGAGGCGUGAUGACGAGGCACUACGGUGCUGAAGCAACAAAUGCCCUGCUUCCAGGAAAAGCCUCUAAGCAUCAGGUAACAUCAAAUCGUACCCCAAACCGACACAGGUGGUCAGGUAGAGAAUACCAAGGCGCUUGAGAGAACUCGGGUGAAGGAACUAGGCAAAAUGGUGCCGUAACUUCGGGAGAAGGCACGCUGAUAUGUAGGUGAAGUCCCUCGCGGAUGGAGCUGAAAUCAGUCGAAGAUACCAGCUGGCUGCAACUGUUUAUUAAAAACACAGCACUGUGCAAACACGAAAGUGGACGUAUACGGUGUGACGCCUGCCCGGUGCCGGAAGGUUAAUUGAUGGGGUCAGCGCAAGCGAAGCUCUUGAUCGAAGCCCCGGUAAACGGCGGCCGUAACUAUAACGGUCCUAAGGUAGCGAAAUUCCUUGUCGGGUAAGUUCCGACCUGCACGAAUGGCGUAAUGAUGGCCAGGCUGUCUCCACCCGAGACUCAGUGAAAUUGAACUCGCUGUGAAGAUGCAGUGUACCCGCGGCAAGACGGAAAGACCCCGUGAACCUUUACUAUAGCUUGACACUGAACAUUGAGCCUUGAUGUGUAGGAUAGGUGGGAGGCUUUGAAGUGUGGACGCCAGUCUGCAUGGAGCCGACCUUGAAAUACCACCCUUUAAUGUUUGAUGUUCUAACGUUGACCCGUGAUCCGGGUUGCGGACAGUGUCUGGUGGGUAGUUUGACUGGGGCGGUCUCCUCCUAAAGAGUAACGGAGGAGCACGAAGGUUGGCUAAUCCUGGUCGGACAUCAGGAGGUUAGUGCAAUGGCAUAAGCCAGCUUGACUGCGAGCGUGACGGCGCGAGCAGGUGCGAAAGCAGGUCAUAGUGAUCCGGUGGUUCUGAAUGGAAGGGCCAUCGCUCAACGGAUAAAAGGUACUCCGGGGAUAACAGGCUGAUACCGCCCAAGAGUUCAUAUCGACGGCGGUGUUUGGCACCUCGAUGUCGGCUCAUCACAUCCUGGGGCUGAAGUAGGUCCCAAGGGUAUGGCUGUUCGCCAUUUAAAGUGGUACGCGAGCUGGGUUUAGAACGUCGUGAGACAGUUCGGUCCCUAUCUGCCGUGGGCGCUGGAGAACUGAGGGGGGCUGCUCCUAGUACGAGAGGACCGGAGUGGACGCAUCACUGGUGUUCGGGUUGUCAUGCCAAUGGCACUGCCCGGUAGCUAAAUGCGGAAGAGAUAAGUGCUGAAAGCAUCUAAGCACGAAACUUGCCCCGAGAUGAGUUCUCCCUGACUCCUUGAGAGUCCUGAAGGAACGUUGAAGACGACGACGUUGAUAGGCCGGGUGUGUAAGCGCAGCGAUGCGUUGAGCUAACCGGUACUAAUGAACCGUGAGGCUUAACCU
rnacentral:rRNA from 1 species